AUGGAGCUGUGGGCGGACCAGCCCGGGGUGCAGUUCUACACCGUCAACGGGCUCAGCGGGGUGAGGGGGAAGGGCGGCAAGGUCUACGGCCGCUACGGCGCGCUCUGCCUGGAGACGCGGGGGUUCCCCGACGCCGUGAACCGCCCGAGUUUCCCGUCGCAGAUCGUCCGGCCGGGGAAGGUGUACAGGCAUGACAUGGUGUUUAAGUUCUCCUUCUAG
rnacentral:rRNA from 1 species